rfam:Firmicutes bacterium CAG:884 genomic scaffold, scf89
GGGGAUGCCAGGUUUCGACAGAAAUAUGAGAGUAUUCGUUGCAAGUCGGAGGAACACGUUACGAACAAACAAAAAUAUCUGGAAACAGAACUCAAUUAGCUUUCGCUUAGUUAUAUAGAAAGCGCUUCACUUAAUUCGUGCCCAUAGGAUUAUUUGGGGCUCAUUUAAUGGGAUAUAUUAAUGUAUUUGCCUAAGUAUGUUAAUGAAUAAAUAAGGCUUACUAAAGCAGGGAUUGCUAGUUAUCAACUUUCUUUAGGAAAUUUUAAUAAUUAGAUAAACUUGUAGACGCGGAUAGAUGAUUAUUUUUGGACAGGAUUUCAAUAUCCUCAUCUCCACCA